rnacentral:lncRNA from 1 species
GGAUGACAUUUAAUGUGGACUCAUGAUGCUAAGACAAGAAUGGGGUGGUUGAUGUCCUGUAUCUCAUUUACUCCUCUCACAGACAGGCCCUGGACAGAAGUAGCACUCCCAUUUUACAAGUGGACCCAGGAAAAGAGGACAUACCUGAGAGAAAGAGAGAGAGAGAGAGCAAGUGUGAGGUGGAGGCACAGAGGGAGAGGGAGAGAGAAACUCAAGGACACUCUGCACUUCGUGCAGAACCAAAGGCGAGGCUCAAUCUUCUGACCUUGAGAUCACGACCUGACCGGGAACCAAGACUCAGAUGCUUAACCAACAGCAUCACUCAGGCACUCCCUAAACAGUUUGAAUUUUGAAAGGGAGAGAUAUGCCAGGGGAAGUGAGUCUUCAGCAGUGAAGGGACCGUUCAU